rnacentral:ncRNA from 1 species
UACUUGGUUGAUCCUGCCAAGGAAGCACACUUAGGUCAUAGAUUAAGCCAUGCAAGUGUUAGUUCAGGUAACGAAACUGCGAAUAGCUCAUUAAUACGCUCAGAAUCUAUUUGGCGGCGACCAACAGGUCUUAAAUGGAUAGCAGCAGCAACUCUGGUGCUAAUACAUGCGAUUGUUUCUCCAGAUGUGAAUUAUGGAGGAAAAGUUGACCUCAUCAGAGGCACGCCAUUCGACUGAGUGACCUAUCAGCUUGUACUUAGGGUCUUUACCUAGGUAGGCUAUCACGGGUAACGGGCGGUUACCGUCGGACUGCCGGAGAAGGCGCCUGAGAGAUAGCGACUAUAUCCACGGGUAGCAGCAGGCGCGAAACUUUCCCACUCGAGACUUUCGGAGGAGGUAAUGACCAGUUCCAUUGGUGCCUUUUGGUACUGUGGAUAGGGGUACGGUUUUCCACCGUACCGAAACCUAGCAGAGGGCCAGUCUGGUGCCAGCAGCUGCGGUAAUUCCAGCUCUGCGAGUUUGCUCCCAUAUUGUUGCAGUUAAAACGCCCGUAGUCUGAAUUGGCCAGCAAUGGUCGUACGUAUUUUUACGUUCACUGUGAACAAAUCAGGACGCUUAGAGUAUGGCCACAUGAAUGACUCAGCGCAGUAUGAAGUCUUUGUUUUCUUCCGAAAACAAGCUCAAUGAGAGCCAUCGGGGGUAGAUCUAUCUCAUGACGAGUGGUGGAAUACUUUGACUCAUGAGAGAGA